rnacentral:rRNA from 1 species
CACUCCUUGACAUGGAAAUUAUACCUAUUCGAAGGGAUAGGGUCGGUUCGGCCGGGUUUCACACAGGUGUUGCAUGGCUGUCGUCAGCUCGUGUCGUGAGAUGUUGGGUUAAGUCCCGCAACGAGCGCAACCCUCAUCCUUAGUUACCAUCAGGUAAUGCUGGGGACUUUAAGGAAACUGCCAGUGAUAAACUGGAGGAAGGUGGGGAUGAUGUCAAGUCAUCAUGGCCCUUAUGGAGUGGGCUACACACGUGCUACAAUGGUGGCUACAAUGGGCUGCAAAGUCGCGAGGCUAAGCCAAUCCCUUAAAAGCCAUCUCAGUUCGGAUUGUACUCUGCAACUCGAGUGCAUGAAGUUGGAAUCGCUAGUAAUCGUGGAUCAGCACGCCACGGUGAAUA